rnacentral:rRNA from 1 species
GAGAUGUGGAUUAGUCCGUACGAGCGCACCUUGUCCUUAUUUGCCAGCACGUAAUGGUGGGAACUCUAAGGAGACUGCCGGUGACAAACCGGAGGAAGGUGGGGACGACGUCAAGUCAUCAUGGCCCUUAUGACCAGGGCUACACACGUGCUACAAUGGAGCGUACAGAGGGUCGCUAAGCCGCGAGGUGGAGCCAAUCCCAGAAAACGUUUCGUAGUCCGGAUCGAAGUCUGCAACUCGACUUCGUGAAGUCGGAAUCGCUAGUAAUCGCGAAUCAGCAUGUCGCGGUGAAUACGUUCCCGGGCCUUGUACACACCGCCCGUCACACCAUGGGAGUGGGUUGCAAAAGAAGUGGCUAGUCUAACCUUCGGGAGGACGGUCACCACUUUGUGAUUCAUGACUGGGGUGAAGUCGUAACAAGGUAGCCCUAGGGGAACCUGGGGCUGGAUCACCUCCUU